UGACAUAUUGUAAUGCUUAUUGAUAUGAUUUGUAAAGUUCAUUGAGGUUUUUUGAAACAUGGUUAAAAUACAAUGUUUAGAGAAAAUUGUUGAUUAUAAAUUGUUUAUAUUGUGUUUAAAAAUGAAAAGCUUUUCUGUAUGUAAUGUUACUUUAAUAAUGCGUAAUGCGUCACAUGACUAAGAGAGGGAGUGAAGAACUGUGGGUCAGAGAGCAAUGGAUGCGAACAGGUCGUAACACGUGCGGCUCCUUCAAAAUGUAUAAUCUCUGCAUAUGGUCCUAAAGGCGCACACGGUAUUUUUUUAUAUUUGUUGCAUGUUAUAAUUUUUAUGUUUGAGUUUAUGUGCUUUAAUGUGUGUAAUGUAACGUGUUCUGUAUUGUAACAAUGAGGCAAGUUGGACUAUUUGUUAUGGGAUUCUGUUGUAAAAGAGGUGUGUUUAAGUUGUAUAUGUCUUUUAUUUGUAGUUUUCACGGUGUCUUUCUUAGACCGUGACAUCUUCGGAUCGACACAGGAAAGAGAGAGCAAAAUAAAAGUCUAAAAGACAUCUGUAUGAUUCGUGGCCGUGAUUUAUUGGAUCAGUGCAGUUAAAGUGAAAACGUACCGCCGAAGUCGACGAGAGUACAGAGUAAAGAAAGACGCCAUAAGAGAAAAGACGAUAUCGCUGGUGUAGGCGGAGCUUCGGUUUGCUGAUCGACAGAUGACCGGGAGUGUUGGUUUCUGGCAUCUUUAGAGAUAUCGCGUCUUACCAGGAGAGGGCGUGAAUUACCUGUGUUGACAACAUCGCCGCAAAUCUUCGGCAAAGACUUCAGAGUCCAGCGUUACUGUGUGACGUUACUCAAUACCGGAAGAAGAGUGCGACCAUACAAACAUCAGGUUUGACUGUUAACUUUAAAAUUUCUGGACAUUUAAAAGGACUUUGAUAAAAGGGAAACGUUUCAUUUAAAUAUAAUUGUGUUUAUUUGAUUAUCAUUACAUUUACACUUUCUAUUAUUAUCAACAUCGUACAAUUCAACUGUUGUUCAUGUUCUUGCUCUGUUAUAUGAUCUGAGUUCUUAAAUGGUAUUUUAAGUGUUACUGGGAUUUUUCAGUUAAACACUGUCUUGGUCUCAAAGAGUAUAUAAAGUAGAGCUAAAAAAUAAUUAAACAAGAAGAAGAUAAAGUGCCAGGCACAAUGUCAAAUAAUGAAAGGUUGUUGCAAGGUGAGCAAAUGGAGACCAGUCAGACAGAGUUAGAAACAAUACAAGAAGUAGAGAAAGGUUCUACUUCUGCCCCUUCUAAAAAAGAACCAAGAAAGUCUUCAAGGGAAAGAAAACUAACUGAAAAAAUGCUGGAGCUUAAGCAGCAAGAAAUUUCUCAAAAGGAGAUUAAGUGGAUCAAGCUUUAUGAAAGUUGGAAAGAUCAAGCGAAAGAUACACGUGUCAAAAUAAAGGAUGAGUGUUCUGAGGAAGACUUAAGUAAAAUGAUGGAUGCCGUAGAAGGACUGGAGACACAAGUAAAAGAAAUGUAUGAAACCAUUCGUUCUCAAACAGCACCUUCUACCGAAAUUAGAAGGAAGAUGGAUUCCUGUACAGCAGUAACAGCAGACCUAAUGAGGCUACUGAAAGUACGUAUGUGUGAAGUCGGGUUAGAGGAAUUUGAUGCUACAGGAGAAAAUGCAAGAAUUCACAUGGUGCUGGAUAAAGAGUACGCCAACUCAAUAUUUGGAAGUACAAAAUCAAAACACACUGUCCAAAGUAGCCAUUCAAAAUGUUCGUCCGAAAACCUAAGCAUCGCAGCAAAAAGAGCAGAAUGUGCAGCACAACUCGCAGCAAAACAGGCUGAAAUUAAGAUGGAAGAAGCUAUAGCUGCACAAAAACAGGAGCUAAAGAGACUGGAAAACCAAAGAGAUCUACAAGUAAUAGCGGCAAAGCUUAAAGCAUACUCUGAAGCUGAUUCUAGUGACGAAAGUAGAACCACAGGUAGUGAAGUGGCCAAUAGUCCCAUUUAUUCUCCUAAAGAAAUGAAAAAGGAACAGACAUUCAUUAACAUUGACAAAGUGCAACCAAAUCAAUCUAACGAUGAUGGAUCAUUAGCACAAGCCUUGCAUGACGCAAUGGUUCUUACCAGACUACCAGCACCCGAACCCUCAGUCUUUACAGGCGAUCCACUUACAUUCUUAGAGUGGAGUUCAAGUUUUAAAGCUUUGAUUGAAAGACGAUGCACAAAUCCAGUUGAUAGGUUAUUCUAUCUAAAGAAAUACAUCAGUGGUGAAGCAAAAUGUGUACUGGAGGGAAGCUUUUUCCGAAAGGAUGAUAAAGCCUAUGAACAGGCAUGGGAGCUAUUGAACUCUAGAUAUGGUCAUCCCUUUGUAAUACAGCGGGCAUUUAGAGAAAAACUAAAUAACUGGCCCAAGAUUAGUUCUAGGGAGUCAGUUAAAUUGAGACAAUUUAGUGAUUUCCUGAUAUCCUGCAACAAUGCUAUACCACACAUCAAAGGACUUCAGGUGUUAAAUGACUGUGAAGAGAAUCAGAGAAUGGUACAAAAACUCCCUGAUUGGGUAACCUCUCAAUGGAACCGUUAUGUCACAAAGCACUUAAGAGAAACGGAGGAAUACCCUAAGUUCAAUGAGUUUGCUGAAUUUGUGGCCCGUGAGGCAGAAGUGGCAUGCAACCCUGUAACUUCCUUUAAUGCCUUGAAGUCAACAGAAGAAAGGCCCAUCAGAGACGUAAAGCGCCAAAGGGCCAACGCGUUUAUAACAAAUGUAAAGGCACCUGAUAAGUUCUGUACAGUGAUGAGGUCGAACAGUGCCGGUGAAAAUCAACCAAAGGAAUCAAAUAAAGUAAAUGUCACAUCGCCAUUUUCAGAGCCAGUUCCAUGCCUGUGUUGUGGAGACAGCCACUCCAUCCACAAAUGUCAGACGUUUGCCAAUAAGCCAGUGGAAGAGAAGAAAAGGCUUAUAUUUGAUAACAAUCUCUGCUUUGGGUGUCUUAGACGAGGACAUAAUUCGAGAGAGUGUAGAAGCAAGGCAAUUUGUAGCAUUUGUAAGAAACGUCAUCCAACCCCACUUCAUGAAGAACGCUCUUCUGCUGCAGCAGACACAUCCUCUCAUGCUAUCGAAACAGAAGAAACAACUUCUUCCCUUUCUUGCUCUGUUGACAGAGGUUGUGGUGGGAGUACAUCCAUGAUAGUUCCUGUGUGGAUUUCUUCAUCUACAAAUCCAGAAAAACAGAUCCUGGUGUAUGCCUUACUGGAUACCCAAAGCAGCAACACCUUUGUAGACAAAGAAGUAUGUGAAGAGAUAGGUGCGAGUCUAGAGCCAGUUAAGUUAAAGCUUACCACAAUGAUGGGAAAAGAUUCCAUUAUUCAGAGUGAGAGAGUCAAUGGGCUUCGAGUUAAAGGGCUUCUCUCUCAAAGUCUUGUCAACUUGCCACCCGCCUAUACCAGAGAUUUCAUUCCUCUUGAACGUUCCCACAUACCUACCUCUCAGACUGCAAAAAGGUGGAAUCAUCUAAACAGUAUAGUGCAGGAAAUGCCAAAGCUGAUGGAUUGCAAAGUCGGACUGUUGAUAGGUUACGACUGCUCAAGAGCACUGGCACCACGACAAGUCAUCACAGGAGGUGAAGAUGAGCCCUAUGCCAUUAAGACAGAUUUAGGUUGGAGUAUUGUCGGUAGCUCACCAAAGGUUGCAAAGUCUACAGAAGUAAUAGGUCUGUGCCAUCGCGUACACGUCAAGGAAGUUCCACCAUUGACACCAGCCACCAUCAUCAGAGCUCUUGAAUCAGACUUCAAGGAUACCAACCCUGGAGAAAGGAGCAUGUCACAAGAUGACAUACAAUUCAUGCAACUAUUAAAUGAGAAAACAAACUACAAUGCGGAUGGUCACUUGGAAAUGCCCCUACCCUUUAGGACACGCCCACACCUGCCAGAAAAUAAGCGGUUGGCUUUGGCACGGCUGAAGCGGUUAAAAGGGAAGCUUGAGAAAAAUCCAAAGUUCAAGGAAGACUAUGUCAAAUUCAUGGGAGGUGUUUUCAAGGAUGGUGAUGCUGAGAGAGCUGAACAACAAUCUGAAACAGGAAAUGUGUGGUAUAUCCCUCACCAAGGUGUUUACCACCCUAAAAAGCCAAACAAAAUUAGGGUAGUGUUCGACUGUUCAGCCAAGUAUGAUGGCACUGCACUAAAUGAUCAUCUGCUCGUUGGACCAGAUCUUACAAAUGGACUGACUGGAGUGCUCUGCAGGUUUCGCAAAUACCCUAUAGCAGUCAUCUGUGAUGUGGAGAAGAUGUUCCACAGGUUCCAUGUAAGCCAGGAGGACAGAGAUUAUUUACGUUUCUUGUGGUGGGAGAACGGGGAUACGAAUUCUGAGCCAAAGGAAUAUCGUAUGAAAGUCCAUCUAUUUGGAGCGGCAUCCUCACCUGGCUGCGCAAAUUAUGGAAUGAAGCAUCUUGCAAACCAAAAUGAGAAAGACUAUCCUGCAGCAGCCAACUUCAUAAGGAAAAAUUUCUAUGUUGACGAUGGCCUCGUCAGUGUUGAAGAUGUGGACACUGCCAUAAACCUAGUGAGAGAAGCACAAACUGUGUGUGCCAAAGGAAGACUGCAUCUUCAUAAAUUCAUCUCCAAUAACAGAGAAGUUUUGGAGUCAAUACCUGACAAUGAACGAGCAACUGAAAUGCAUGACGUGGAUCUCAGGCAUGAUGACCUUCCAGUCCAAACUGUGUUAGGAGUGAAGUGGAGUGCAAAUAGUGACACCUUCUCAUUUAAAGUUAUUUUGGAUGAGAAACCAGCAACGAGGCGGGGAAUUCUCUCAACUAUAGCUUCUGUGUUUGACCCACUGGGCUUUCUAGCUCCUUUCCUCCUCCUGGGAAAGAAAAUACUACAGGACAUGUGCCGAAAGGGCAUUGAAUGGGAUGAACCACUGCCAGAAGAAUUAAAGCCACGAUGGGAAAGCUGGCUAAAUGAUCUAAAGAAUCUGCAGGGUCUUCAGAUUCCAAGAUGCAUCACAUCUGGAAAAAUGGAAACGACCCAGAGAAUUGAACUUCAUCAUUUUUCCGAUGCGAGUAGUCAAGGGUAUGGUCAGUGCUCAUACAUACGAUUGCUGAGUGAAGACAAAGUACACUGCUCUUUAGUCAUUGGGAAAGCAAGGGUUGCACCCACUAAAGUUGUGACAAUACCCAGGCUUGAGUUAUCAGCUGCAGUAGUUUCUUCAGCAGUCAGCAGUAUGUUAAGGGAAGAGCUAGAACUCAAAAUCGACCAAGAAUAUUUUUGGACAGACUCAAAAGUAGUCUUGGGCUAUAUCAAUAAUGAAGCUAGAAGGUUCCACGUUUUUGUAGCCAAUAGAGUUCAAAGAAUCAGAGAAACAUCAGACCCCGCACAGUGGUACUACGUUGAUAGUGACAGUAAUCCAGCAGACCAUGCCUCCAGAGGCCUCAGUGUGUCAGAGUUGAUCAGUUCAAAUUGGUUUACUGGACCCAAGUUUUUGUGGGAAAGAGAGAUUGUCACGUCGGAGUCAGAUCCAGAGCUCUUGGUGGGUGAUCCUGAAGUAAAAGUGACACAGGUACUACAAACCAAGCUAGAAAAGGAAGAACAAUUUUUGGACAGAUUCAGUCGGUUCUCAAAAUGGCAUACAGCAUUGAAAGUGGUCGCUCGAAUCCAGCAACUAGCUAAAGGAAACAAAUUCCCAAAGCCCAUAAAUGUCGAGGACUUAAAGAAAGCAGGUGUCGCGCUUAUAAAAUUGGCACAAAAGGAUGCAUUCGAAAAAGAAAUGGAAACACUAAGUCAUGGCAAACUUCCAAAUAACAAUCAAUUUUUCCAGCUUGAUCCAGUGCUGCACGAUGGCGUUCUCAGAGUAGGGGGGCGUUUAACCAAAGCUUCCUCACCUUUGGACUUGAAGCAUCCAAUAAUCCUGCCAAAGAAUGGUUCGGUGACACGUCUAAUUUUGGGUCACUGCCAUGAGAAAACUCAACACCAAGGCAGAGGGCAAACCCUUAACGAACUGAGAGCUAACGGUUACUGGAUUGUUGGUGGCAGUAAAGUUGUAGCUAACUACAUUAAGCAGUGCGUUACAUGCAGAAGAGCUCGCAGGCCAACAGAAACACAGAAGAUGGCAGACCUACCUGCUAACCGUGUUGAUCCCUCGCCACCGUUUUCCUACUGUGGCAUGGAUUGUUUCGGGCCAUUUCACACCAAGCAAGGCCGUAAAGAGUACAAGAGAUAUGGCCUCAUAUUCACCUGUCUCUCUUCUAGAGCAAUUCAUGUGGAAAUGCUGGAAGACCUUACUACUGAUGCUUUCAUAAAUGCUCUGCGGAGUUUUAUAGCAAUCCGUGGUGCUGUAAGAGAAAUCCGGUCAGAUCAAGGCACAAAUUUCAUUGGGGCAAAGAAUGAACUGACGAAGGCACUUAACGAGUUGGACAAAGAGAGACUAACUGCAUACUUAGCCCAAAAACAAUGUGACUUUACAUUCAAUGUACCUGAUGCCAGCCACAUGGGGGGUAUUUGGGAAAGGCAGAUCAGAACAAUUAGGAGUGUCUUAAAUUGGGUCCUCUCUCAAAGUGCUGGCAGAUUAGAUGAUGCUUCCUUAAGAACCUUCCUUUAUGAAGCCAUGUCUAUCAUAAAUUGCCGUCCACUCACCACUGAUACCAUUAAUGACCCAAAGAGCCUAGAGCCUCUUACCCCAAACCACUUGCUCACCAUGAAAGCUUCUGUACCGCUGCCACCACCAGGAAAAUUUGAAGCAGAAGACCUUUAUUCCAAAAAAAGGUGGCGUAGAGUCCAGUACUUGACAGAGCAAUUCUGGGGUAGAUGGAAAAGGGAGUACUUGGCAAACAUAGCACUCAGACAGCGCUGGCAUUCCGCAAAACGAAAUGUAAAAAUCGGAGAUGUUGUCAUUCUCCAAGAGGACGCACUUCCACGCAAUGGCUGGAGACUAGGAAGAGUGCUUGAUGUUCGUACAGAUGAAGAUGGAUUGGUGCGAAAGGUCACAAUUCAAUUAGGCGAUAGAAAGGCGAGUAAAGAGGGCAAAAGCAAAAACAAUAAUUUUUCUAUUCUUGAACGUCCAAUUCAUAAAUUGGUUGUGCUUGUAGAAAACAACUAAAUUUGUGUGGUAAUCUCUAAAUGCAAUAAUGCAUGGAAUUUGAAGUACUCAUUUAACAUGAACAUGGAUAAGUAAAAACACAAUUUGUUCUGAUGUUUGAUUUUGAAAAUUACUGGAUUUAUUCAAACAUUUAUUGAAGUUCAUCAUAAAUCAUAGUAAUUUGAUGGGAGUGUAAAUGUCCGAUGACAUAUUGUAAUGCUUAUUGAUAUGAUUUGUAAAGUUCAUUGAGGUUUUUUGAAACAUGGUUAAAAUACAAUGUUUAGAGAAAAUUGUUGAUUAUAAAUUGUUUAUAUUGUGUUUAAAAAUGAAAAGCUUUUCUGUAUGUAAUGUUACUUUAAUAAUGCGUAAUGCGUCACAUGACUAAGAGAGGGAGUGAAGAACUGUGGGUCAGAGAGCAAUGGAUGCGAACAGGUCGUAACACGUGCGGCUCCUUCAAAAUGUAUAAUCUCUGCAUAUGGUCCUAAAGGCGCACACGGAAACAAGCAACUGAGCACAGCAUCUGAACCUGGAGCAGCUACAACCUUCUUCACAAGAACCUCCUGAGAACUCCCUCCGGACCACAGUAAGGGGCUGUGUGCUGAAGAGAUCACAUGAAAACAGUGACGGCUUUUUCUGGCAGAUGCAAAAUGGAGCGGCACUCAGCAUUUAAUGGCUGGAUAUCAUGCUGAGAUCACAACACCUUGACGGGAAAUCUUGUCACAUUGUAAUCUCGUGAGAUUUUGUGGCACAAGUUGUUUUAUCUUCAUUUUACUGUAUAUUUUAUGUUAAUAUACAAUAGUAGGCCACAGGCAGGGUAACAUUGUUGUUUUUUCAGUAAUAAACAGCUUGUGAAAUGUGAAAAGGUAUUAUUGUUCAGAUUGUUAAACUUCAUAAGUUUAACAGGGGUUACUUCAAUAAAACCACAGACAGUAAGACUAAUAUUUUCUACUUUUUAGACUGUGAAUAUUUUAGACUAAGGAUAAUAAAGGUACGGUAGGUACCACAGAUACGUGAUUUGAGCAUUUGAGCAUGAACCGAGACGUUCACUUUCAGUCGGUCUCUCGACGUUGUGUUGAGAGACAGACUGGGGACCUAUCUCUACACGACACGGCGCUGAGCCGUAUCACAACCUCAAGCUGAGCAACACUGACUAGCUUGGCGAGUCACAAGUGAGCAGUACAGCGAGACGUAAUCUUCAAACGUAACAGUAGUGGACAUACUGAGAAGCCUGUACUGACAGUCAUCACGGACAGAGGUGUACGCCUUCAAAGUGAGGCGCCGUCCGAGCCUGUAGCACUGGGGAAAACACUGCUCUCCUCUUGGAGAGUGUGUUACGGAGACCACAUCCUGCCAUAUGGGAGGUACAUGUGGAGACACUGGGGCAACAGUCCUAGUAUAGGGGUCCACCAUGAUUAUUGCUGUAUAUUGUAGAGGUGGGCGAUAUAUAUCGUCUGCGAUAAUAUCGAGUUUGUUGUGUAAACGAUGUGCAAAUUCUCAUUAUCGAGUAUUUAAAUUACUCCGAAAAAACACGCAUUAAAACGCCACACAUUCAGAGGCUGCAGCAGGGCGUCACGUGAUUGCUGUUCUGCGCAUACACGUCGUCAUCUCUCUCACAGGCAUGGUAAGCGAAUGGCCGCCCGCAAGUUGAACACCGGCGCUGUGCCGAAAUCUGUGACCCAUCGAAAUCUGUGACUAGAGAGCUGUUUCGUAAUUAUUCACGCGAGAACGUGCCUGGCACGUGAACGCGAGCGCGGAAGGGGAGUUUCUUAACUGUUUACCUGACCGCCGACUCCACGAUGACGUCAUGUUGCCUCGCGCUCUUGUGUUUGUGUAGCUUAUGCGCGAAGCCGACUUCUGGAGAAUCAGAAGCGGCGACUGAAUACUGCACAACAAGCUCUUUCAUUUAAAAGACAAGACCCGAGUACAUUCUGUAUUAUCAUGACGGAUUUGUCUUGGCUCAUAAUUUGAACUAAAUCUACAUGUGAACAGUGAGCAGUUUGCCUAUAAUGUUCUAUAAAGUUUCAGAAUCUGUCCAUGCCAGUGUGUGCUUUAAUAAUAGUGACUAUAGUUUAUUUGUCUGUAAAUUGUGGACCUUGUUUACUUUGAUGUCAUUUGUUAACAAAUGUAUAUUAUAUUAUUUAAGAUAAUCUGAUUUGGAAGUGCACCUUUUGGGCAGAUUUUCCUUUUGAUUUUUGUGCAAUCUUUGUACUGGGCAGUACUUGAAGUUAGGUAUUUGUUCAAUAAGGCCAUAGGUGGUAAGGCAAUAAGGCCCUAAGGAAACAUGGUUGUGUGCAAUAUGUUACAGAUCAGAGUACUUUAUUUACAGAUGCUAUUUGUUCAUUAUUAUUAUUAUUUCAUCUUGCUUGUAUGCUGCACAAUUUACAUUACAGCAGAGGUGUACAACUGAAUGUUUACUCAGAGUUUGAUGUUCUUACACUAGUUCAAUUAGUAUUUUGUAUGUCUUUGAAUUGUUUUUACUUCAAUACUUACAUGUUAAAGAAAAUAAAUAAGCAAUGUUUUCAUU